UUGCCUGUUUAUCAAAAACAUCUCCUCACUGGACAGGUGUGAGGUCUAGCCUGCCCACUGACGUUAAGUUUAAGGGCCGCGGUAUUCUAACCGUGCGAAGGUAGCAUAGUCAAUAGUCUUUUAAUUGGAGGCUUGAAUGAACGGUUGGACAUGGGGAAUUCUGUCUUAGUACAAAGAUGUGAACUUGACUAUUAUGUGAAAAGGCAUGAAUAUGUUGGGGGGACGAUAAGACCCUAUAAAACUUGAUGAUUGGUGUGGAUUACUUUCGAUAUGAGUUUCAGGUAGGUUAACACGAUGGUCAUUGUGCUGGGGCGGCAGGAAUAAAACACUAACUGUUCUUAACAUAUAAUAAUUAUAAUUAUAGAUUGACCCCGAACUUCGGGUCUAAAGAGUAAGUUACUUUAGGGAUAACAGCGUUAUUUCUCUUGAGAGUUCAUAUCGACAGAGAUAUUUGCGACCUCGAUGUUGAAUUAAAGCUUUCUUUGGGGGGAGAAGUUCAAAGGAUAGGUCUGUUCGACCUUUAAAGCUUUACAUGAUUUGAGUUCAAACCGGUGUGAGCCAGGUUG
rnacentral:rRNA from 1 species